AACGAACGCUGGCGGCAGGCUUAACACAUGCAAGUCGAACGCCCCGCAAGGGGAGUGGCAGACGGGUGAGUAACGCGUGGGAACAUACCCUUUCCUGCGGAAUAGCUCUGGGAAACUGGAAUUAAUACCGCAUACGCCCUACGGGGGAAAGAUUUAUCGGGGAAGGAUUGGCCCGCGUUGGAUUAGCUAGUUGGUGGGGUAAAGGCCUACCAAGGCGACGAUCCAUAGCUGGUCUGAGAGGAUGAUCAGCCACAUUGGGACUGAGACACGGCCCGAACUCCUACGGGGGGCAGCAGUGGGGAAUAUUGGACAAUGGGCGCAAGCCUGAUCCAGCCAUGCCGCGUGAGUGAUGAAGGCCUUAGGGUUGUAAAGCUCUUUCACCGAUGAAGAUAAUGACGGUAGUCGGAGAAGAAGCCCCGGCUAACUUCGUGCCAGCCGCCGCCGUAAUAC
rnacentral:rRNA from 1 species